rnacentral:piRNA from 1 species
UGAUGUUCUAAAGAGAAAACGACUGCCA